rnacentral:lncRNA from 10 species
UACAGGUUGCAGUGAGCUGAGAUCAGGCCACCGCACUCCUGCAUGGGCAACAGAGUGAAACUGUCUCAAAAAAACAAAACAAACAAAACAAAAGAUAGGGCCAAAUAUAUAAAGGUCUGAGAAAUAUGUUAAGACCUAAAAGAAUGGUUGGACAGGUUAGGCUGUCAGUGGUUGUUAUCCAUUCACUAAACUCAAUAUUCUUCACAUCAUAGUUUUAUGUGUAUGUGGUCUGGCCUUCUCAUGAAACAAGGUUAUUCACUAAUGUCUUUUAAAAUAAAAAGAAGUGUGGUCAAUUAUGGAUUAUUUUUAUAAUUAAUUUCACAUCUAGAAAUCCAUCUCUUCCUUGGCUUACAAAAAAUGACUUUAUACACAGUAAUUAUUUCAUAAUAAUUAUGGCAAUACAUCUCAACAAACUAGGCACAGAAGGAACAUAUCUCAAAAUAAUAAGAGCCAUCUAUGACAAACCAAUAGCCAACAUCAUUCUGAAUGGGCAAUUCCCCUUAAGAACUGAGACAAGACAAGGAUGCCCACUCUCACCACUCCUAUUCAACAUAGUACUAGAAGUCUCAGCCAGAGCAAUCAGGUAAGACAAAAAUAAAAGGCAUUCAAAUAGGAAAACAGGUAGUCAAAUUAUCUCUCUUCACUGACAGUAUGAUUCUAAACCUAGAAAACCCUAAAGAUUUUGCCAAAAGACUCCUAGACCUGAUAAAUAAUUUCAGCCAAAUCUCAGGACACAAAAUAAAUGUAGAACAAUCAGUAGCAUUUCUAUACACGGACAAAGCUGAGACUUUAUCAAGAACGCAAUCCCAUUUACCAUAGCCACACACAGACACAAAAAUACCUAGGAAUACACUUAACUGAGGAGUUGAAAGAUGACUACAAGAACUAACACCGCUGAAAGAAAUCAUAAAUGACACAACAAAUGGAAAAGCAUUCCAUGCGCAUGGGUUGGAAGAAUCAAUAUCAUUAAAAUAUCCAUACUGCGCAGAGCAAUCUACAGAAUCAAUGCUAUUCUUAUCAAAUUAUCAGUUAUUUUUCACAGAAUUAGAAAAAACUAUUCUAAAUUCAUAUGGAACAAAAACAGAGCCUGAAUAGCCAAGGCAAUCUUAAGCAAAAAGAACAAAGCUGAAGGCAUCAUAUUACCUGACUUCAAACUAUACUGCAGAGCUACGGUAACCAAAACAGCAUGGUACUGGUACAAAAACAGAUACACAGACUGAUGGAACAGAAUAGAGACUCCUAAAAUAAAGCCAUACAUCUACAACCAACAUAUCUUUGACAAAGUUGACAAAAAUAAACAAUGGGGGAAAGGAUACCCUAUUCGAAAAAUGGUGCUGGGAAAACUAGCUAACCAUAUGCAGAAUAAAACUAGACCCCUACCUCUUACCAUAUACAAAAAUUAACUCAAGAUGAAUUAAAGACUUAAAUGUAAGACCUCAAACUACAAAAAUUCUAGAAGAAAAUAUAGGACAUACUCUUCUAUACAUUGUCUUAGGCAAAUAAUUCAGGAUGAAUACCCCAAAAUCAAAUGCAACAAAAUAAAAAAUAGACAAAGGAGACUUAAUUAAACUAAAGAGCUUUGGCACAGCAAAAAGAACUCUCAACAGAAUAAACAGACAACCUAUAGAAUGGGAGAAAUUAUUUGUAAACUAUGCAUUUGACAAAGGACUAACAUCCAGAAUCUAUAAGGAACUUAAACGAAUCAACAAGAAAAAAACAAACAUUCCCAUUAAAAAGUGAGCAAAGGACAUGAAUACACUCUCCUCAAAAGAAGACUAUGCGCCGGGUGUGGUGGCUCACACUUGUGAUCCUAGCACUCUGGGAGGCCGAGGCGGGUGGAUCACGAGGUCAGGAGAUCGAGACCAUCCUGGCUAACAUGGUGAAACCCCGUCUCUACUAAAAAAUACAAAAAAUUAGCCGGGUGUGGUGGCACGUGCCUGUAGUCUCAGCUACUCGGGAGGCUGAGGCAGGAGAAUAGCGUGAACCAGGGAGGCGGAGCUUGCAGUGAGCUGAGAUCGCACCACUGCACUCCAGCCUGGGCAACAGAGCGAGACUCC